CCUCCCUUUGCAAAUUGCAAGCUGGUAAUAUAGGAAUGAGACGCAUUUAGUAAUAGGGUUUGCAGUCUUUUGUGUUCGUGCUUUUCUUUGUGAUGACUAUAAUUAUAUAUAUCUUAAUGAUUCCCACUUUAAUUCUCUGUUGGUUUAGAAUUACCAAUUGCAAGGAGACAUUCUCUUCAGAGAUUUUUUGAGAAGCGACGGGACA
rnacentral:misc_RNA from 1 species